rnacentral:rRNA from 1 species
GGUUAAGUUAGAAAGGGCGCACGGUGGAUGCCUUGGCACUAGGAGCCGAUGAAGGACGGGACGAACACCGAUAUGCUUCGGGGAGCUGUAAGCAAGCUUUGAUCCGGAGAUUUCCGAAUGGGGAAACCCACCACUCGUAAUGGAGUGGUAUCCAUAUCUGAAUACAUAGGGUAUGAGAAGGCAGACCGGGGAACUGAAACAUCUAAGUACCCGGAGGAAGAGAAAGCAAAUGCGAUUCCCUGAGUAGCGGCGAGCGAAACGGGAUCAGCCCAAACCAAGAGGCUUGCCUCUUGGGGUUGUAGGACACUCUGUACGGAGUUACAAAGGAACGAGGUAGAUGAAGAGGUCUGGAAAGGCCCGCCAUAGGAGGUAACAGCCCUGUAGUCAAAACUUCGUUCUCUCCUGAGUGGAUCCUGAGUACGGCGGAACACGUGAAAUUCCGUCGGAAUCCGGGAGGACCAUCUCCCAAGGCUAAAUACUCCCUAGUGACCGAUAGUGAACCAGUACCGUGAGGGAAAGGUGAAAAGCACCCCGGAAGGGGAGUGAAAGAGAUCCUGAAACCGUGUGCCUACAAGUAGUCAGAGCCCGUUAACGGGUGAUGGCGUGCCUUUUGUAGAAUGAACCGGCGAGUUACGAUCCCGUGCAAGGUUAAGCAGAAGAUGCGGAGCCGCAGCGAAAGCGAGUCUUAAUAGGGCGAAUUGAGUACGUGGUCGUAGACCCGAAACCAGGUGAUCUACCCAUGUCCAGGGUGAAGUUCAGGUAACACUGAAUGGAGGCCCGAACCCACGCACGUUGAAAAGUGCGGGGAUGAGGUGUGGGUAGGGGUGAAAUGCCAAUCGAACCUGGAGAUAGCUGGUUCUCUCCGAAAUAGCUUUAGGGCUAGCCUCAAGGUAAGAGUCUCGGAGGUAGAGCACUGAUUGGACUAGGGGCCCCUACCGGGUUACCGAAUUCAGUCAAACUCCGAAUGCCGAUGACUUAUCCUUGGGAGUCAGACUGCGAGUGAUAAGAUCCGUAGUCGAAAGGGAAACAGCCCAGACCGCCAGCUAAGGUCCCAAAGUAUACGUUAAGUGGAAAAGGAUGUGGAGUUGCUUAGACAACCAGGAUGUUGGCUUAGAAGCAGCCACCAUUUAAAGAGUGCGUAAUAGCUCACUGGUCGAGUGACUCUGCGCCGAAAAUGUACCGGGGCUAAACGUAUCACCGAAGCUGCGGACUGUUCUUCGAACAGUGGUAGGAGAGCGUUCUAAGGGCUGUGAAGCAAGACCGGAAGGACUUGUGGAGCGCUUAGAAGUGAGAAUGCCGGUAUGAGUAGCGAAAGAGGGGUGAGAAUCCCCUCCACCGAAUGCCUAAGGUUUCCUGAGGAAGGCUCGUCCGCUCAGGGUUAGUCGGGACCUAAGCCGAGGCCGAAAGGCGUAGGCGAUGGACAACAGGUUGAUAUUCCUGUACCACCUCCUCACCAUUUGAGCAAUGGGGGGACGCAGGAGGAUAGGGUAAGCGCGGUAUUGGAUAUCCGCGUCCAAGCAGUUAGGCUGGGAAAUAGGCAAAUCCGUUUCCCGUGAAGGCUGAGCUGUGAUGGCGAGCGAAUUAUAGUAGCGAAGUUCCUGAUUCCACACUGCCAAGAAAAGCCUCUAGCGAGGUGAGAGGUGCCCGUACCGCAAACCGACACAGGUAGGCGAGGAGAGAAUCCUAAGGUGAUCGAGAGAACUCUCGUUAAGGAACUCGGCAAAAUGACCCCGUAACUUCGGGAGAAGGGGUGCUCUGUUAGGGUGCAAGCCCGAGAGAGCCGCAGUGAAUAGGCCCAGGCGACUGUUUAGCAAAAACACAGGUCUCUGCGAAGCCGUAAGGCGAAGUAUAGGGGCUGACGCCUGCCCGGUGCUGGAAGGUUAAGAGGAGCGCUUAGCGUAAGCGAAGGUGCGAAUUGAAGCCCCAGUAAACGGCGGCCGUAACUAUAACGGUCCUAAGGUAGCGAAAUUCCUUGUCGGGUAAGUUCCGACCCGCACGAAAGGCGCAACGAUCUGGGCACUGUCUCAACGAGAGACUCGGUGAAAUUAUAGUACCUGUGAAGAUGCAGGUUACCCGCGACAGGACGGAAAGACCCCGUGGAGCUUUACUGCAGCCUGAUAUUGAAUGUUGGUACAGCUUGUACAGGAUAGGUAGGAGCCUUGGAAACCGGAGCGCCAGCUUCGGUGGAGGCAUCGGUGGGAUACUACCCUGGCUGUAUUGACCUUCUAACCCGCCGCCCUUAUCGGGCGGGGAGACAGUGUCAGGUGGGCAGUUUGACUGGGGCGGUCGCCUCCUAAAAGGUAACGGAGGCGCCCAAAGGUUCCCUCAGAAUGGUUGGAAAUCAUUCGCAGAGUGUAAAGGCACAAGGGAGCUUGACUGCGAGACCUACAAGUCGAGCAGGGACGAAAGUCGGGCUUAGUGAUCCGGUGGUUCCGCAUGGAAGGGCCAUCGCUCAACGGAUAAAAGCUACCCCGGGGAUAACAGGCUUAUCUCCCCCAAGAGUCCACAUCGACGGGGAGGUUUGGCACCUCGAUGUCGGCUCAUCGCAUCCUGGGGCUGUAGUCGGUCCCAAGGGUUGGGCUGUUCGCCCAUUAAAGCGGUACGCGAGCUGGGUUCAGAACGUCGUGAGACAGUUCGGUCCCUAUCCGUCGCGGGCGCAGGAAAUUUGAGAGGAGCUGUCCUUAGUACGAGAGGACCGGGAUGGACGCACCGCUGGUGUACCAGUUGUUCUGCCAAGGGCAUCGCUGGGUAGCUAUGUGCGGACGGGAUAAGUGCUGAAAGCAUCUAAGCAUGAAGCCCCCCUCAAGAUGAGAUUUCCCAUUCCGCAAGGAAGUAAGAUCCCUGAAAGAUGAUCAGGUUGAUAGGUCUGAGGUGGAAGUGUGGCGACACAUGGAGCUGACAGAUACUAAUCGAUCGAGGACUUAACCAA